rnacentral:tRNA from 2 species
GCCGGGAUAGCUCAGUCGGUAGAGCAGAGGACUGAAAAUCCUCGU